rnacentral:lncRNA from 1 species
UGGACUUAAAUCCGAGCAUAAACCUCCGGAUUUGUAAAUACUAAUCCGAAAUUUUUUAAAAAUAUGCAUAUUUUACUUGAAUUUAUAAAUACUACAUGGAUUUCUAAAUCAAUCAAAAUAUAUAAACCAAUAAGAUAUCUUGACUUAUGAUUUGUAGCCAAUGAAAGGGUAUUUUCUUUUCUAGUUUGUGUUUGGUAAUAACACUCUGCUUUGUGUCCACAUAUUUGUUUCUUUUCUAGGUAAAAUUAUUGUGUUCUGUUUGUUUUAUUAAAAUAUAUAGUAACCGUUUUAAUUAGAGUAGGGGCUAAAAUGGUUCUUGACACUAAAUGUGUAUCAUAUAUUGAAUGUGUAUUAUUAGAAUCCAUUUGUAGAAAAAUACCCUUAAUGAGAAGUCCAUAAAUAAUAUUAAAGCGAGUUGCAUUUUUUGUAAAUCGUAUAUGAGAAAAAGGUUAUUUUCUGUUUUAAUAAAAUAGAUGCCUAAAUAUACUGAGAUUUUAAUUAUGUUAAGAGAUUUUGAACAUAAGCAGAUGAGGUUCUCGUGUCGGGCAUGAAAUAUAUCCAAUAUUUUUAAUAAAUAAUUAUUUAAUUAUGUCUGAUGGAAAUAAAUAAUCUAAUAAAAAUAAAUAUUUAUCUGGUAAAAUUAAAAUUUUGCAGAAUUUAUAAAAAAUAAAUAUUUAUUUAAUUUCUAUGGAAAUUAGUAAGAAUAUUUUUUGGUUUUUGACGAAAAUAUAUAUACAUAUAUAUAUAUUCAAACUUUUUAGAAAUUUUCUGAAGAAAGUAUAAAAAAAAUAUUUAUUGAAUUUGUCGGAAUCGUCGCAAAUUCGUCAUAUUUUUGACAGGAUUUAGUUCCAUUGAAAAUUCCAUCUGAAAUUCCUAUGUUUUUUUAUAGUGUAUCAUCCAUCACUACAAUGUAAACACGGAAAAUUGUGACUAUAUAUUUAGUGGCUAGCUUAACCACAGAACUAUUAUGAUCAUCUAGUGGCUAAAGUUUAGUGCAUAGGCAGCUACCAUAUUAUGAUCACAUUUUUAAAUAUCUAAUCGUGGUCAUUUUUCAUAUAGUCAAGGAAUGAAAAGUUGGUGGCUAUAGAAUUUUCUUUUAACCGUGGAGACUUUUCUGCCUAAUAGUUUGAGAGAGAGAGAGAAACAAAGCAGAGAUCCACACGGAUAAAAGACUGUAAAAGAGAUAAAAUUAGAGUGUGACAGAGGGUUUUAUUUUUUUCCAUCUCUUAGAGAUGUUGUAUAGUUGUUGUUUCUUCUCUAGAUUCAGUUGUCGUUAAAUGCUUCAUGGCACUUCUCUAACAACUGUUCUACUUUGUUUUUUUUUGGUAUAACACUGUUCUACUUUGUUGCACAUAAAAAAAUGUUCUACCCAAAAGGAAAGGAUUUGGAUGCAUCUCUGACUAGUCUCCGAUCAAAAGAGAUAACUCAUCGUUUGUUAUGUUUCAGGUUUGAUUGAGAGAUGAAAAAAUAUAAUGAUAAUCAUAUUAGCUUCCUCAGUUUUAUUAAAAAAAAUAAAGCUGCACGCGCAAGUAUAGAGAUUGCAGUUUGUGUUACCUUUUGGUAAACAUAAGAAGGUGGAUUUCUUGUAUCGGGCAUGAAAGCUGUCAUGAAGACAAUAACAGCGAUCUUGCAUGGGAAGAUGUCAGCAGCAAGCGCAGCACAUAUCCCUCCCAUGCUAUGAGCAAUAAGAAUCACCUUUUCGUCAUCUGAGCAAAGAGAGUUCAGAAACUCAAGCAACGGUUUGCAGUAAUCCUUUAAAGUCUCAAUCUCUUCCAAGCUAGUCAUGUUUAUACCAGAUGCAGCCAGAUCCACAACUGUCACAUAGUGACCUGCAGCCUCCAGCUGCGUUUUCAGUUUGUACCAAGUCCAUGCGCCGUGGCAGAGCCCAUGGACGAGCACAAACCGCUUCUUGUACUUCUUACUUUCCAUUGUAUUCUUUACUUUCUGCAUGUUGGCUCAAUACUUUAAUAGACGAGUUCUCAUGGUCAUUCAGAACAUCAGCAUCAGAGAAUUCCCAGCAAAUCUGUCAACCUUAUAAUUAAAAAUGGAAAAGAAAGAAAGCGAAAGUGAAAGUGGGAGAAACGUAAGAAACUCUACGAGUCAUGAGAGACUCAAAAGCCACAUCAACUCUAUAAAUCAAUAAUGUUGUGACUAUAAUAUUUUAUUAAUUUAUAGAGUUAUUGAUUUACAAAAAGUUUUUUUUUGAGAUCUUUUCCUAUUUUGGAUAUUUUUAUUUAUAAAAUAAAAAAAUAGUUGAGUUUACCGUAUAACAUUAAUUAAAAUUUUUAAAAUUAGACUCGUAUUAUUUGGUGUAUAUUUUUAUGUUUCAUAGAAUUCAAAUGUGGUAUUAGAUAUAAUUUUACUAAAUAUUAUCAAAAUAUAUUGAAAUUUUAAGAAAAGUAUAGAAAACUUCAAUGUGAAUAUAAAACCAAUAUAAUGUUUAAUUUGUACUUAUAUAAAAUGUAUAUAUAUAGAUUAUUAAUUAAUGAUUUUAAUGGGACCAUAAGCAGAACACGGUUAUAUGAUCUACCACUAAGUGUGCUGGAUAGUACUAUUCUCCAUUGACAUUACUCUGAAAUGGUUUUGUCCACUUUGCACACAACAUAUGGUAGUAGAAUAGUCAAUUAUAUUUGUUUACAAAAUGAUAAAAAGCCAGUGAAUUACAGUAUCAAAUGGACUCUUUACCCGGAUUCUCAAGUUCACCUGCUUUAGAUUUAGUAUACUUAUUUACAGUGUCUUUUUUUUUUGAAUAAGAUUAAUGUUUACAGUGUCUUGGUAGCCUAGAUUAAUGUUUCUCUCAGUUCUUGCACUUCUUUAAUGAUAUAUGCUGAAAAGUUAUAGGCUUUUGAUUGUUUCUUUAUCUGGCUGUCAAGUUAGUUAAGUUAGUUAGUUCCCGCUAGUAUGAUUAUGUAUGAAUCUUUAUGUUGGUUAAUCUGUGUGUAUCAAGCAUGUUUCUGGCUAUAGAAGUCUAUGUGUGGUACAUUGGAAUAGCUCCAUGGCAGAAAAAAAUAACUUUUAUUCUGCAACUCGAUAAUAAAUAUCAACAUCUAUAUAUGUAUAUCAUGUUUUGAAAUUGUAAUUUAAUAAUUGAAUAUAUAAAAACAUUGGGUUGAAAUAAAUAUAAAAUUUUAGUAUCAUCUUAUAUAAUUUUCAUAAGUGUGGAUAAAUGAAAGUUACAAAAAUAUGAUUAUAAUUUUAUAUCGUAAACCAAAAAUAAGUAUAUAUAACUUAUCUAAAAUAAGAGAUUUAAUAAAUUUAAUUGUAUUUGUAUAUUUGUAUUCAAUUUAAAAGAUAUAAAUUUAAUGACUAAAUGACUAAAUGUCAUUUAAUCCAAAUGUAUAGUUACUUUUAAAAUUAUUUUAUAUAUAAAAUAUUUAAUUUUAAAUAUAAUUAGAAUAUCUGAUAAUUAAAAUAAUUUUUCUUUAAUAAUAAGAGAUAUUUAAUUUUCAAUAUAAAUUAAAUAAAUUGUAUAUAAUAAAGGCAAUUUAAAAAUCAAAAUUUGAAAAAUUAACUAUUCUCAUUUAUUUUUAAACCCUAAUUAUUUAUUAUAUAACAUGAUUUAUUUCGUUUUAAAUAUAAUAACAGAUUAAAUUCAAACAAAGAUUAUAUUUAUUAAUAGUAAUAAUUAGUAUUUUGUUUUCAUGUUGCUUUCCUAAUUUAAGUAACUUUUUGUUAAAAGGAUUUCAGUUACUUUUCUUUGUAUAAAUUAGCAAUUUUAAAGAAAAUGUAUAAGAAGUGUCAAUGAAUUCGAGAAAUAUUUUUUGCCUUAAACAGAAUUGACUACAGUUUAGAAAAUCAUUAUACUAACUAUCAAGGUUAAAGUUUAUUAAAUACUCAUAACAAAGUAAAAUAACUACUUUACUUAGAAUAUUUUAAUGGUGAAACAAGUAUACACUAUUUCUAAAAUAAUAAAAGUAAAAAGUAAAAAAUAUAAAAUAGUAAAUAGUAAAAGAUUUAAACAAAAAUAAAUUAAACAUUAGAAAAUUUUCAUUAAAUUUAUGUAUAUUUAUAUCAUUUUGUGCAUAUAAUUACUCGUUAGUAGGGCGGGUUUAGUCAUAGUAAAUAUAUAUAACACCACUAAAUAAAAACAAAAUAUAUCAUCAUUCAAACUCUCUGAACAAUGUAUUAAGAAAUUUAGUCAGCCGCAAUGAAACUGAGACAGAAAAUGAAUCUCUUUAUAACAAACAAGUUCAAUGGAAAGGAACAGUAAAAAUUAAGAAGAGCAACAACAAAAAUAAUGAUUUACACAUAAUAAAAAACCAAACAUUUUAAGGUAAAAACAAAUGUAAAAAGAAAAAUUUAAUAAAAACAAACUUUCUACACAAAAUAUGGACCAACCCCCUUGUAAAAAACAGAAGUCAAAGAUAGUUCCUACAUCUCAACCAGUCACUCAUAUAGUUUAGUUUGAUAAUUAUUUCUUAUUUACCGAAUAAUCCAUAAACCAAAUAAUUCACUCCAAAUCCGAUCCGCAUCAGAUCUCUUUGGAAUGUUUAGAGUUGUAUAUAUUAAUAUGACUAUCUUUCGAUAAUUGAGACAUAUCAUAUAUGCUAGAAAUUUUAUCCAUGAAUUGGCUUCCCAUAAAAGAUAUGUGUAUAGAAUAGAAUAGCCGUUCGACAAAAAAAAAGAAAAGUAUGUGUAUUAAGGCAUCUUUAACGCUGGAUCUACCACUAAUAAUCAAUUUAAAAAGUUGGAAAAGCUUCAGAGAACUUGCAAGAUGCUCUUUGGGAUUCUUGAGCGAUCGAGUUUGUCACAUCUCGGGUCCGAGCCCCAAUAUUUAAUAACAAGGCUUGUGAUGAUUUGGCCCAUGUAGAGAAAAUCAUACGGUUUUUCUCUUUCCUCUUCUAUAAAAAGGAGACAGUCCUUAGAUAUUUUUCUACAAAGACAAAACACAGCGAAGCCUUGCCCAGUUGGAGAGAGAGCAGCCGCCGGCCACCAAACCUCUACCGACUACCGCGUAGCCUCAUCGGAGAGGAGAUCUCGCCGUGUUUCGAUCCCUUCUCGUCGUUUCCUUGAGUCUUCUACUUUUUUUCUUCUAGAUCCAGCUACUGGUGAGGAUAAGGAAACCCUAGUCAUUCUCUUUUAGUUCUUCCCUAUCUCUUUCUUCUUCAAGAUCUAGGGUUUGGGUGGAAACCUUUCCUUGUUCUUGUAGAUCUGGUUCGUGAGGGUCUGUAGAACUCAGAUCUACAUCAAUUCUCGUCUCAUCUCGCAGAUCUAGGCUAAGGUGAGGGCUUGUAGCAAUCUCUAUCUCUUUUUAUCAUUGUCUCAUCAUGGUAGAAGUAUCUAGGUUGAUCGUUCAUCUAUAUAUGUUGUUGUACAUCCAUAGAUCUAUUAAUAUAUACACUUAUAUAAAUGAUAUAUAUCUUGAUGCUUGAUGUGUGAAAGACCUAUAUCUAUUGCUAAGGUUGUGAAAGCAUUGUUGAAUGAUGUUUGAGGAUUGUAUGUGAUGAUUGUAUUGUUUCUUUGAAUCAGAAUAUUUUAAGCCGAAAACCUAGCUCAUUUUAAAAAUAAAAAUUAGAUUUUCAUCCGCCUUUUAAGACACUGAGAUUGUUGUUUAGCGUUUAACAAAAUUUUAGUUUUUGUCAUUUUUAAUUAUUUAUGAAUUAUUAAACAAAAAUUGUCAAAGGAGGUAAGAUAAUUAAUUCAAUUCUCUUUGCAGCCAAGUGAAGAGAAUUUAACAUUAGUAUUUGUCUGCUACGAAACUGAGAUUCUUUUUUCUGCACGAAUCAUAAAUAAAAGCUGAGAUAUCUUGACUUAUGAUUUGUAGCCAAUGAAAGGGUAUUUUCUUUUCUAGUUUGUGUUUGGUAAUAACACUAUGGUUUGUGUCCACUGUCCACCACAUAUUUGUUUCUUUUCUAGGUAAAAUUAUUGUGUUCUGUUUGUUUUAUUAAAAU